rnacentral:misc_RNA from 1 species
GUUAAAUUGAACUUUCUGCUACUUAAUUCUGUCAUUUGUUUGUUAUUAACAAAAUUAUUUGCAUUUAUGAUCUUAAUUAUAUUUAUAUAAAUUGGAACCUAUAGGCAUUUGGAAGCAAAGAAAAUUUGAUAUCUUCCGUUUGAUUUGUUGAUGUUCCAAUUAACUACUUCUUGUAGUAUUUCUCUUGCAUUGUAAAAUCAUUUUAGGAUUCAUUGAAAUGUUUUCUUACCAGGUCAGUU